AGACUGAGUAACUGCUAGAUCCUUGGACUUCCAUUCACAGCUGCGACUGAACCAUUGUUGGGAAUUGGGCUGCCGACUGUGCUCUGCUGGUCAGAGGACACGAAGCUGAAUCCAGGAAUCCCUGCACACUCCAGAGACAGAGGCAGAAGGAGGCACUCAGGGUUGGAGAGACUGUAAUGUGUGGGAUGUUGAGAGUGAAGUGUUGAUCUUAGGCAGGAUAAGUAGGAAUUAUCCAGGUGUGUUUUAGUUAGGGUUACUGUUGCUUUGACACAUCAUGACCAAGACAACCUGUGGAAGAAAGGGUUUAUUUCAGCUUAUACUUGCAGGCCCAUCACUGAAGAAGUCUAGGCAGGAACCGAUUGACACACCUCCUCUAACAAGACCACACCUCCUAAUCCUUUCCAAAGAGUUAUUCCAGCUGGGAUCAGGGACUAAAACCUAUAAACCUGUUGGGGGCCAUUCUCAUCCAAACCACCACAGUGAAAAACAUUGGACCUUCGUUCUGAAGGCAAUGAAAGAAUUUCACAGGUGCUUUAAAAGCUUUCAAGGAAUGUCUUAAGGUAGUAGUUACAAAAUUAAAAGCAAUUAAAAAUCAUCAGACACUGAACAGUCACUCAAAAUAAACAUAGCUGUGCAAAGGACUCCACG
rnacentral:lncRNA from 1 species